GCUAGUUCUUCCACGCAAAAUUGAAGUUAUUCCACAUUUCAUAGGGGUCAUUCCACAUCAGAUGUAACUCCACAUGAUCUACCAGAUCACACGUAAUAAAGAGCUAUUCUGCAAAACUUUCGGUGUUGCUGAAGAGGACUGAAUAAACUACUCUACAAUGGGGUUUCGUUAAAUGGUCACUCACAGCAAUAAUGAAAGAAUUGUCGUGUGGAAGGAUGUGGAUUAGCAACAAUUCUGUAGUACUUCAGGGAUAACUACAUAGGACUUUAGAAGCUACUUCACAAUACUUCAGAAGGACACAGAACCUCAAAGUCCUCAAGUCAGAGAACAUAACGAACUACAAGACUUAAGGAGCUAUUGCACAAGUCUUGAAGGGCUAAUUCCACAGGACCUAUAAGGCCUUACGGAGCUAUUUCACGAGGCUUCAGGUCACACACCAAUAGUGAAAUACUUCAAAAACAACUUCACAAUACACCACAAGCUACGAGAAGUAGCUCCACAGGACCUUAAAGGCCUCUAGUCAUGGUGAAUGACGAACCACUCUACUCUAGGCGUAACGAGUUAAUGCACAACUCUUAAAGGGCUACUCCACAGGACCCGUAAGGCCUCCGGUCACUGAGAUGCUGCUCCACAUGCUUUAAGUCGCUACUCCGCAUGCUUUAAGGAGCUACUGAACAAUACGGCUUUCUAAACAGGACCGAAGAGGUCAUUCUAAAAAAAUAACGUUCAGCAGGACUUUCAGAGUUGCUCUUCAUAACUUCAGCAGCACAGAGGUCCUAAUUAGCUACUUCGUAAAGCGUUUUUAGGAAUUUCUCAAAGGGUUACUCCACAUGAAUUCGGAAGUAACUCAGUCACGGGUCACGGUCAACUACUCUACCAGACUUGAGGAACUGCUGCACAAAUCUUAAAACGGCUACUCCAUAAAACUUCACACAGGCUUCAGCUCACAGGCCCUGAUAAGCUGCUCCACCAGACUCAAGUGGCUACUCGACAAGGACAGUAUUGAAGGCGCUACUGAGCAAGACCUAAGCGGCUUCUCCGUUUAGCGAGACCUUAAGAGUGCUGAUCAUGACUUCAAGAGAUUUUCCUCAUAAUAGCAGAAGUAACUCCACUUUAUCUACAGGUCACCGGGAAUAAGGAGCUAUUCCAAAAGAGUUUAUGUGUUCCUGAAGAGAACUGAAUAAGCUACUCCAUGAAGGCUGCUCUAAGCAAGAAUGAAGGAGUCGUUUCACACGCAAGCCUACUCCAGAAGCCUUCAGACGUAACCCCACAUGACCUUAAAGGCCACACGCCUCGGAGCAUGGCGAACUACUCCACAAGGCUUCAGAAGUAAUUCCACAGGACCCCUAAGGUCUCAGGUCACAGGACCUGCGAAACCGUUCCACAAGACUCAAGUGACUACUUCAAAUGCUUUAAGGAGUUAUUGAUCGGUAUUGAAGUAGCUACUGAGGGUUUAUCCACAGGACCGAAAAGGUCACUCCACAAAGUUUAAUUGUUCUUUCGUUCAGCGGGACUUUCAGAGUUGCUCAUCAUGACUUCAAGGUACUGCCGAAGAGAUCCUAAUUAGCUACUCCGUAAAGGGUUAAGAGGUCACUCAGCAAGCAUCUUCACUGGACUUGAUGCUACUCCACAAUACUUCAGAAGUAACUCUGCAGAACCUUAAAGGUCGCAAGCCACGGUUCAUGGUGAACUACUGUACUAAACUUGAGGAGUUAUUUCACAAAUCUUAAAAUGCCGACAGAGUCUGAGAAGCUGCUCCACCAGACUCAAGUGGCUACUCCUCAAGGAUUUACUGGAACAGUAUUGAAGGAGCUACUGAGCAAGACCAAAGCGGUUUCUCCGUUUAGCGGGAUCUUAAGAGUGCUGAUCAUGACUUCAAGAAAUGCUCCUCAUAAUACCAGAAGUAAGUCCACUUCAUCUACAGGUCACAGGGAAUAAGGAGCUAUUCCACAAGACUUAAGGUGUUGUUGAAGAAGCUACUCCAUGAAGGGUUUUAAGGGGUUUCGUUUGACACGCAACAAUUCUAUAGUACUUCAGGGAUAACUUCACAGAAAUUAUAAGCCUACUUCAGAAGCCUUCAGACGUAGUAAUUCCACAGGACCUCUAAGGCCUCAGGUCACAGACUCAAGUGGCUACUCCAAAUGCUUUAAGGGUAUUACUCAACGGUAUUGAAGGAGCUACUGAGUGUUUAUCCACAGGGGAGAAGAGGUCACUCCACAAAGUUUAAUGGGUCUUUCGUUCAGCCGGACUUUCAGAGUUUCUCAUCAUGACUUCAAGGUGCUGCCGAAGAGGUCCUAAUUAGCUACUCCGUAAAGGGUUAAGAGGUCACUCAGCAAGCAUCUUCACAGGACUUAAGAGGCCACUCCACAAUACUUCAAAAGUAACUCUGCAGAACCUUACAGGUCACAAGCCACGGUUCAUGGUGAACUACUGUACUAAACUUGAGUAGUUAUUUCACAAAUCUUAAAAUGCUGACAGAGUCUGAGAAGCUACUCCACCAGACUCCAGUGGCUACUCCUCAGUGAUUUAUUGGAACAGUAUUGAAGGAGCUACUGAGCAAGACCAAAGCGGUUUCUCCGUUUAGCGGAACCACAAGAGUGCUGAUCAUGGCUUCAAGAAAUGCUCCUCAUAAUACCAGAAGUAACUCCACUUCAUCUACAGGUCACAGAGAUUAAGGAGCUAUUCCACAAGACUUAAGGUGUUGUUUAAGAGGACUGAAUUAGCAACUCCAUGAAGGGUUUUAAGGGGCUUCGUUUGACACGCAACAAUUCUAUAGUACUUCAGAGACAACUUCAGAGAAAUUAUAAGUCUACUCCAGAAUCCUUCAGACGUAGUUUUUCUACAGGACCUCUAAGGCCUCAGGUCACAGGACCUGCGAAGCUGUUCCACAAGACUCAAGUGGCUACUCCAAUUGCUUUAAGGUAUUACUCAACGGUAUUGAAGAAGCUACUGAGGGUUUAUCCACAGGGCAGAAGAGGUCACUCCACAAAGUUUAAUGGAUCUUUCGUUCAGCGGGACUUUCAGAGUUGCUAAUCAUUACUUCAAAGUGCUGCUGAAGAGGUCCUAAUUAGCUACUCCGCAAAGGGUUUUUAAGGAUUUAUCGAAGAGGUCACUCAGCAAGCAUCUUCACAGGACUUAAGAGGCUACUCCACAAGCUUUCAGAAGUAACUCCGCAGGACCUUAAAGGUCUCAAGUCACAUAGUGGCAUGGUGAAGUACUCCGCAAGACUUAAGGGACUACAGCACAAUUCUUAAAUGACUGUUCAUCAAAGCAAUAAAAGUAAUUCCACGAGAGCUUGAUCACAGGGCAUGAUCAGUUCAAAGGGCUCAAGUGGCUACUCCACACAGUUUGAGGGAAUAGUGAAUAGUGUUGAAGGAGCUACUUCGCAAGAUUUUUCCAGGGUUUCUCCACAGGACUUAGGAGGUCACUCCGCAAUAUUUAAUGGGUCCAUUCCACUCAAGCGUUAUUCAACAGGAGUUAAUAAACUUCUCUGCAAGACUUGCGGAGUUUUUCCGCAUGACUUCAAAAGGAACUUCUCAGGAACUUUAAAGCUACUCCAGUCCAUGGUACUUGAAAGGCUACCGUUUUGUUGCUAUAAAAGUAACUUCAAAGGCCUCUGGUCACAGGGAAUGAAGAACUACUGCACAAGAAUUAAGAGAAUCAAUGGGGACUGAACAGGUUUAUCCAUAUAACCACUCUGCAAAAUUUAAUGCGGUUUUAGGGGGUUUGUUCACAGGACCUCAGAAGCUACUUCAUAGGAUUUACUAGGAUACUCCACACGACUUAUAAAAUGACUCCACAGGACUUCAAAGGCCUCAUGUCGAAGGGCAUGAGGAGUAACUCCACAGGUCAGAAAUCUUCCGUAACCCACCAACGGCAAGCGUUGGUGUCUACUUUCUGACUAACUUGGACCAAAACAGAGCGAACGGCGCAGUUAGUCUUAAGAUAAAUGUAAACAAACAGCUGUCACAUUAGCGCACAUCCGAUUCAUGGCCUACUAUUUCGGUGUGCCGCGUUCCUGGCACUCAAUCCAUCAGCAAAACCAAUUCACAGGUAUAUCCUGGGUGAAACGAAAUGAACUUUGAACCUGUACACUUACGACAUUGUUAUUGCUUUCUUUUACAGCUGUCAAUUCAAAGCUGUAAGGUGGAAUUCAGGAGUGAUUCGAGAUUUGGGCGUAACUGUUUUUGUAAACAAUGACUCUUCAAUCACCGAUUUCUCGCGAAUAGAAGCUCCUCCUCAAAAACUAACAACGCAAACAGGUAGGGGGAGUGAUUGCCCGAGCAGUUCAAGAAUGAUCUUUCAAAAGGACCUAUCUGCUUUUGUAAACAACGAUUGGGGAAUCAUUUCCCUAUGGUGGUGUUAGUUUGCGAAGGCAAGCUAAGAGUUUCGACGAAUGCAGCAGAUACGAGGUUUAAUACGCGAGAAAUCGAUGAUUGAGGCCAUUUUUUCACAAAAGUAAUUGCGCCCAAAAAAUCCCGAAUCACUCUGGAAGUUCAUUCGCAGCGGGCACCAAAUAUCACAAUAUGCUGAUAUAGUAAAUAUUUAAAAUUUAAAAUCUAUCCGUUAUCUAUGAGAGAGAUGAGAAAGAGAAAGAAUGCAAAAUGGCGAAACAAAUACAAACUGAGAUAGGAUUACCAAAAAAAAAAAACUUACAAUCAAAUAAGGAAUGCAUUUUUUGCUGGUUUUGUAUACAAAA